CCUAGGGGAGGCAGCAGUGGGGAAUAUUGGGCAAUGGACGAAAGUCUGACGCAGCGACGCCUCGUGAGGGAUGAAGGUCUUCGGAUUGUAAACCUCUUUCAGCAGGGAAGAAGCGAAAGUGACGGUACCUGCAGAAGAAGCACCGGCUAACUAUGUGCCAGCAGCCGCGG
rnacentral:rRNA from 1 species